UUUGUCUUCUCGUUAUUUCCUCUAGGAUUCACCGGGAUUCGAUCCUGGGGACCUCCAAUGUGGAGAGAGGUUCCCUGUCACCUGCACCCCCUCAGUUCCUGGCUUCUGUUGCGUCUUGCCUUGACUCUCCCCUUUGUCUCUCUUUUUGUUAUGUCAUCAUCUUGCUGCUUGGUUCACCGCGCAGGCCCGGCUCCCUGCAUGGGCACUGGCUCGCCACAUGGGCACUGGCUCACCUCAUGGGCACUGGCUCUCUGCACAGGCACAUCUUUACCAGGAGGCCCCAGGAAUUGGACCCAGGUCCUCCCAUAUGGUAGGCGGAAGCCCGAUCACUUGAGUCACAUCCACUUUCCAAGACUGGUGGCUGCUGCCGGUGCCGUGCUCAGCCCUCGGUUGGACUUCGGCUCUUGGAUGUCCCGCCCGGCACGGAGACCCGGGAGUGGGGGCGCCCCUCCCCGAGUGUGGAGGUUCCUGAAAGCAGCAGUUCACGAGGGAAGCCGGGAUCCCCGAGCUUCAGCGACCUCAGGGAGUGUGUACUGGAAUUAGUCGUGCUCAUCCAAGGUCCUCCAGGGUCAAAUUGGGAAAUAAGCAAAGUUCUGAGGCAAAGGAAAAUUGUAUUCUAAAGCAUUGGGGACAUUUUGAUUAGAAGCCAAUAAUUAAAGAAUGAAAUUCUUGUGCAAAACUGCAUGAUCACAGUGCAAAUUAGAGUAAUUAGAGCCUUCAAAGAAGUCUUUUAAAUGUUAUUUUACAGUUAAACUUACUUUGUAAAAAAGAAUGCAAAUUAUAAGUGACAUCAGCGACGUGUGUGUUUGGGA
rnacentral:lncRNA from 1 species